GGAGGUGAAGAGUUUUCAGUUUGAACAACAAAUGAGAUGAUGCUGAGAAGGUGAAGAGUCAUGACCCCUGACCCUUAGAUAUUUUUAGAUCUAGGAGUUGUGAUGAAGAGAUGGGUAGACAAAAGGGUGUAAACAUUUUUCUAUAAAUAAAGGUUUCAUUUGCCUCAGAUGAGCAUCCUAAUUGUUCAGAGUUGGAUGAAAAGGACUGUAUCCAUGCAUUUCUUAAGUAUAAAGACCUAACCAAAUAAAAGUUUGAGACAUGGACGAAAACCAAAAACAUA
rnacentral:lncRNA from 1 species